GUCCACGCUGUAAACGAUGAGUGCUGGACGUUGGUGGGCUUGCCUGCCAGUGUCGCAGCUAACGCGUUAAGCACUCCGCCUGGGGAGUACGGCCGCAAGGUUGAAACUCAAAGGAAUUGACGGGGGCCCGCACAAGCGGUGGAGCAUGUGGUUUAAUUCGACGCAACGCGCGGAACCUUACCAGCCCUUGACAUGCCGCGCGAUCCGUGGAGACGCGGAGUUCCUUUCGGGGACGCGGACACAGGUGCUGCAUGGCUGUCGU
rnacentral:rRNA from 1 species